UUGAGUGUGGUUCUCAUGUUCAAAGGUAUUGUCAAAAUUUGAGACAAAUCAAUUUGAACCUUAUGGCGGCCACAUGCUUGCUUUCUUUUUGAAGAAAGAUUUACUGGAACACCUGCAGCACGACAUUUCUUUGCUUCCCUCCAUAUAGUUUGCACUUGACACCUAUUGACAUUAAACAACUGAGCCACUACUGUGGUGCUUGUUUUUUUCAGUUUUCCAUUGUUGCUCAUUAGAAGCAAUUCUUCAUAAAUAUCAUGUCUUUCCUUUUCUGUCAGAUUCUUUCUUCUUCUCACAAUAUUUGUAUUUGCAUGCUGAUCACGUGCUUGAACACUGGGUCCUUGGAGACUGCCUUCCCCUAAGUUGACAUGAAAAUCUUCGCCAUACACAGGAUCUUCGUCAUCUUCAUGGUGGCAAUAAAUGAAUAAACAUUGAAAGGGUCCACAUCAUCAUCAAAAUCUAGGACAAGGAGGAAGAAAGCUUUUUACCAAAAGGACAACAGGUCCGGGAGGCCACCACCACUUGCUCCUACUGCUGGUCCAUCUUCGUUGUCAUCAAAGAAAGGGGGAUUAUUGAGAUCAAAUGACAUGGCUCUCAGCAAGAUACGAGAUGGAGUGAGGAAAAAAGAGAUGAAGUGAUCUUAUUU